AGGGAGAAAGACUGGACUGAAGUCCAGCUAUUGAAAUCAUCUCAAGACCACAAACCCAGAAGUACAACACCAGAAACAGACAAGGGAACUCAUUUGGGACAAAGACCGAACUCUGCAAAUCAAAGGACACCCCGGCAAGUGAAGACCCAUGUGGAGGAAAUAUACAUAAGACCUGACUCUCCGACUCUACCACGUGCCCACAGCUCCCUCUCCCAGUUCUCCC